CCUCCCCUGCCGUUUUUAGGAAUCAUUCCCGGAUGCGAUACCCCCAAAAAGCCAAACACCACGGGGCAGGGCAGGCCCGGGCGACGCGGGCGGAGAGGAGGAGACACCAGCCCCCCCGCCGCGGAACGAAGGCGCCACCACCGGCCGGAGGAGCAACCCCCGACUCGACCCGACCCCGAAGCGACGGCGGCUGCGUCUCGAUUCGGCUCC
rnacentral:lncRNA from 1 species